rnacentral:rRNA from 1 species
CACCGCGGUUAUACGAGAGGCCCUAGUUGAUCAAAACGGCGUAAAGAGUGGUUAUGGAGUCAUUCCCUUAAAGUAGAAAACCUCUUAAACUGUUAUACGCAUCCAGAGGUCUAAAUCCCCCAUUCGAAAGUAACUUUAUUUAUGCCCACCAGAACCCACGAAAGCCGGGACA